ACACUCCUACGGGAGGCAGCAGUGGGGAAUUUUGGACAAUGGGCGAAAGCCUGAUCCAGCAAUGCCGCGUGAGUGAAGAAGGCCUUCGGGUUGUAAAGCUCUUUUGUCAGGGAAGAAACGGUGAGAGCUAAUAUCUUUUGCUAAUGACGGUACCUGAAGAAUAAGCACCGGCUAACUACGUGCCAGCAGCCGCGGUAAUACGUAGGGUGCAAGCGUUAAUCGGAAUUACUGGGCGUAAAGCGUGCGCAGGCGGUUUUGUAAGUCUGAUGUGAAAUCCCCGGGCUCAACCUGGGAAUUGCAUUGGAGACUGCAAGGCUAGAAUCUGGCAGAGGGGGGUAGAAUUCCACGUGUAGCAGUGAAAUGCGUAGAUAUGUGGAGGAACACCGAUGGCGAAGGCAGCCCCCUGGGUCAAGAUUGACGCUCAUGCACGAAAGCGUGGGGAGCAAACAGGAUUAGAAACCCCUGUAGUCCCAUGA
rnacentral:rRNA from 1 species